AGUCAACUCCAUUUGCACUUUAGGCCGCUGCCUUGAACACUGACCAUGUGACAUUAAAAGUCCUGUCACUACUGCCUCCGACCCCAAUGUCUCCCAUCAAACACAGCAGUCUUCACAACAAAAUGAAACAGUUCACUGUUGUCUGUUGGAAGUGCAUUGAAAGCUGAUGUUUCUAUGGCAGCCAAAGAUGUUUGUUAGGAUGAGUGGAACAGGGGCAAGCACUUAAACAGAAAUAACACAAUUUAUUCCUUGAGCAGAUCACUUCAGGAUGAAAUAGAGUAGACACCACACAAAGAUAAAUUAUUUAAAUGUAUUUCUAAAUUUAUAUCAAACAAAGGAAACUGUAAUUAAAUGCUUUUCAUAGACCUAUGUACAGUGAUAAAUAUCAGUGUUGUAUAUACAAUUCAUAUAUCAGUGCUGUAAAUGCAGGUCAGACUGCUGUACUGUUAUUUUGAUUCAUAUAAUAGUAACAGAAAGGAUAUAUUAACUUUAUUUCAUAAGUUUUAGUGAAGUCCAAUAAGUUGACACUAAUUUCUUUCAGAGAGAGUUAAUAAAGAUUUGAUUGAGUCCAUUUGACAACAUUUACAGAGGUCAGUGCUGUAGAUACAGGGCAGAUAUAAGUGCUGUAGAUACAGGGCAGAUGUCAGUGCUGUGUUCAAAUGCUACCAGAAUCCAUACAGACAUUCUUUGAAUAAUAUAUAUCACACACCAUAUUUUCUAUUUCACAAAAUAUUUUUUCACAGAUCACUAAAAUAAAAUAAUGCACCCUACACCAGCAGAAUGAUGACCUGUGCCUCAACAUUAUUUGAAAUACUCCACAUCCUGAGUGUUCUUUGAACAUUAUAUUAAAUCAUUUUUGUUAAACCAUACUUAGAACUUGCAGAAAAUGUUAGCUAACAUUGUGGGAACAUUCCUUGCUAUCUGGGAUGGCUGAUAGAAAAAGCUGAACAUGUGACAGAAAGUCAGUCAGAUAUAUUCCAGUAAAGCUCCACCUCUUCCUGUAAGCAGACAGACACUGAGGACAGCACAUGUGAUUACCAGAUCAGAGACCAGACAGACGGGCAGAGAGACGCUGUACCUGGACAUGGAUCACCUGGUGCUUUUGCUGUUGCUGUUGAGCUCAGCUGAUGACUACUGUUGGACAUUGUGCUUCGGAGAGAGAAAAAGCGAGUGGCAAAGAGGAGAGACAGGCCAGAGAAACUGUUUGGGAUCAUUUCAAGCAGAAACAAAAUGAAAACCUUUGUGUUCAGGGUAUUCACAUGUUCUUCUAACCUGUAGUAAACAGGACUGCAGAUAGAAGGAGAACAAAACACAGAGACUGUCAGGUUGGUGGGAGGAGACAAUCGCUGUGCAGGAACACUGGAGCUGAAACAUCAGGGAGACUGGAGACCAGUAGGUGACUCUCUGGCUGGAGCCUGAAGGAAGCAGCUGUUGCCUGCAGAGAACUGGACUGUGGCUCUCCUGUUUCUGUACUACGGAGAGA